rnacentral:rRNA from 1 species
UACGUAGGCAGCGAGCGUUGUUCGGAGUUACUGGGCGUAAAGGGUGUGUAGGCGGUUGUUUAAGUUUGGUGUGAAACCUCCCGGCUCAACUGGGAGGGUGCGCCGAAUACUGAAUGACUUGGAGUGCGGGAGAGGAAAGUGGAAUUCCUGGUGUAGCGGUGAAAUGCGUAGAUAUCAAGAGGAACACCUGAGGUGAAGACGGGUUGCUGGGCUGACACUGACGCUGAGGCGCGAAAGCCAGGGGAGCAAACGGG